GGCCUCCUUGUGCUUAACGAAGGCUGUGUUCCUACACUGACUGUAUAGAAAGAGGAGGCAGAAUAAACAUACGUACCUACCCUACGUACCUACCCUACGUACACCCCAGCCUAGGCCACUGUGCCUGGUCUGUAUUGUGAAUGGGGAGACAAUG